CGGACGGGUGAGUAACGCGUGAGAAUCUGCCUACAGGACGGGGACAACAGUUGGAAACGACUGCUAAUACCCGAUGUGCCGAGAGGUGAAACAUUUAUGGCCUGUAGAUGAGCUCGCGUCUGAUUAGCUAGUUGGUGGGGUAAGGGCCUACCAAGGCGACGAUCAGUAGCUGGUCUGAGAGGAUGAUCCGCCACACUGGGACUGAGACACGGCCCAGACUCCUACGGGAGGCAGCAGUGGGGAAUUUUCCGCAAUGGGCGCAAGCCUGACGGAGCAACGCCGCGUGGGGGAGGAAGGUUUUUGGACUGUAAACCCCUUUUCUCAGGGAAGAAGAAAGUGACGGUACCUGAGGAAUAAGCCUCGGCUAAUUCCGUGCCAGCAGCCGCGGUAAUACGGGAGAGGCAAGCGUUAUCCGGAAUUAUUGGGCGUAAAGCGUCCGCAGGCGGUUAAUCAAGUCUGUUGUCAAAGCGUGGGGCUCAACCUCAUACAGGCAAUGGAAACUGAUUGACUAGAGUAUGGUAGGGGUAGCGGGAAUUCCAGGUGUAGCGGUGAAAUGCGUAGAUAUCUGGAAGAACACCAGCGGCGAAAGCGCGCUACUGGGCCAUAACUGACGCUCAUGGACGAAAGCUAGGGGAGCGAAAGGGAUUAGAUACCCCUGUAGUC
rnacentral:rRNA from 1 species